rnacentral:rRNA from 1 species
GAAGAACCUUACCAGGUCUCCCCCCUCCCUCUGACAACCCUAGAGAUAGGGCUUCUCCUUCGGGAGCAGAGUGCCAGGUGGUGCAUGGUUGUCGUCAGCUCGUGUCGUGAGAUGUUCGGUUAAGUCCCCGCAACGAGCGCAACCCUUGAUCUUAGUUGCCAUCAUUUAGUUGGGCACUCUAAGGUGACUGCCGGUGACAAACCGGAGGAAGGUGGGGAUGACGUCAAAUCAUCAUGCCCCUUAUGACCUGGGCUACACACGUGCUCCACCCGACGGUACAAAGAGCCGCAAGACCGCGAGGUGGAGCUAAUCUCAUAAAACCGUUCUCAGUUCGGAUUGUAGGCUGCAACUCGCCUACAUGAAGCUGGAAUCGCUAGUAAUCGCGGAUCACAUGCCGCGGAG